rnacentral:rRNA from 1 species
UUUGAUCCUGGCUCAGAUUGAACGCUGGCGGCAUGCCUUACACAUGCAAGUCGAACGGCAGCACGGGAGCAAUCCUGGUGGCGAGUGGCGAACGGGUGAGUAAUACAUCGGAACGUGCCCAAUCGUGGGGGAUAACGCAGCGAAAGCUGUGCUAAUACCGCAUAAGAUCUACGGAUGAAAGCAGGGGAUCGCAAGACCUUGCGCGAAUGGAGCGGCCGAUGGCAGAUUAGGUAGUUGGUGAGGUAAAGGCUCACCAAGCCUUCGAUCUGUAGCUGGUCUGAGAGGACGACCAGCCACACUGGGACUGAGACACGGCCCAGACUCCUACGGGAGGCAGCAGUGGGGAAUUUUGGACAAUGGGCGCAAGCCUGAUCCAGCCAUGCCGCGUGCAGGAUGAAGGCCUUCGGGUUGUAAACUGCUUUUGUACGGAACGAAACGGCUCUUUCUAAUAAAGAGGGCUAAUGACGGUACCGUAAGAAUAAGCACCGGCUAACUACGUGCCAGCAGCCGCGGUAAUACGUAGGGUGCAAGCGUUAAUCGGAAUUACUGGGCGUAAAGCGUGCGCAGGCGGUGAUGUAAGACAGUUGUGAAAUCCCCGGGCUCAACCUGGGAACUGCAUCUGUGACUGCAUCGCUGGAGUGCGGCAGAGGGGGAUGGAAUUCCGCGUGUAGCAGUGAAAUGCGUAGAUAUGCGGAGGAACACCGAUGGCGAAGGCAAUCCCCUGGGCCUGCACUGACGCUCAUGCACGAAAGCGUGGGGAGCAAACAGGAUUAGAUACCCUGGUAGUCCACGCCCUAAACGAUGUCAACUGGUUGUUGGGUCUUCACUGACUCAGUAACGAAGCUAACGCGUGAAGUUGACCGCCUGGGGAGUACGGCCGCAAGGUUGAAACUCAAGGGAAUUGACGGGGACCCGCACAAGCGGUGGAUGAUGUGGUUUAAUUCGAAGCAACGCGAAAAACCUUACCCACCUUUGACAUGUACGGAAUUUGCCAGAGAUGGCUUAGUGCUCGAAAGAGAACCGUAACACAGGUGCUGCAUGGCUGUCGUCAGCUCGUGUCGUGAGAUGUUGGGUUAAGUCCCGCAACGAGCGCAACCCUUGUCAUUAGUUGCUACAUUUAGUUGGGCACUCUAGUGAGACUGCCGGUGACAAACCGGAGGAAGGUGGGGAUGACGUCAAGUCCUCAUGGCCCUUAUAGGUGGGGCUACACACGUCAUACAAUGGCUGGUACAAAGGGUUGCCAACCCGCGAGGGGGAGCUAAUCCCAUAAAACCAGUCGUAGUCCGGAUCGCAGUCUGCAACUCGACUGCGUGAAGUCGGAAUCGCUAGUAAUCGUGGAUCAGAAUGUCACGGUGAAUACGUUCCCGGGUCUUGUACACACCGCCCGUCACACCAUGGGAGCGGGUUCUGCCAGAAGUAGUUAGCCUAACCGCAAGGAGGGCGAUUACCACGGCAGGGUUCGUGACUGGGGUGAAGUCGUAACAAGGUA